rnacentral:rRNA from 13 species
GCUUUGAUCCGAGGAUUUCUGAAUGGGGCAACCCACGGCUUAGGCCGUAUCCCGCAAGGGAGGCUAACGCAGGGAACUGAAACAUCUAAGUACCUGCAGGAAAAGAAAUCAACCGAGAUUCCCCUAGUAGUGGCGAGCGAACGGGGAGUAGCCCUUAAGUUUUGUGCGGUUUAGUGGAACAGUCUGGAAAGUCUGGUCAUAGCGGGUGAUAGCCCCGUACACGAAAAACUGCAUGAGAUGAAAUCGAGUAAGGCGAGGCACGUGAAACCUUGUCUGAAUAUGGGGGGACCA